GAUGAACGCUGGCGGCGUGCCUAAUACAUGCGAGUCGAACGCAUUGUGGUUGAAAUGAUAUGAAGAACUUGUUCAGAUUUGAUUUUCAACAUUGCAAUGAGUGGCGAACGGGUGAGUAACACGUGGGAAACCUACCUCUUAGCAGGGGAUAACAUUUGGAAACAAAUGCUAAUACCGUAUAAUAAUUAAAACCGCAUGGUUUUAGUUUAAAAGAUGGUCUUGCUAUCACUAAGAGAUGGUCCCGCGGUGUAUUAGUUAGUUGGUGAGGUAAUGGCUCACCAAGACAAUGAUACAUAGCCGAGUUGAGAGACUGACCGGCCACAAUGGGACUGAGACACGGCCCAUACUCCUACGGGAGGCAGCAGUAGGGAAUCUUCCACAAUGGACGAAAGUCUGAUGGAGCAACGCCGCGUGUGUGAUGAAGGGUUUCGGCUCGUAAAACACUGUUGUAAGAGAAGAAUGACAUUGAGAGUAACUGUUCUAAUGUGUGACGGUAU
rnacentral:rRNA from 1 species